rnacentral:rRNA from 1 species
GACAGAGGCCUCAAGCGUUAGGCGGAAUCACUGGGCUUAAAGCGUGUGUAGGCGGAUCGUUAAGUGUCUUGUGAAAUCCCACGGCUCACCCGUGGAACGGCUGGGCAUACUGGCGAUCUUGGGCCAACUAGGGGCAACUGGAACAAGCGGUGGAGCAGUGAAAUGCGUAGAUAUCGCUUGGAACGCCGAAGGUGAAAACAGGUUGCUGGGGUUGUGCCGACGCUGGAGAAGCGAAAGCAUGGGGAGCGAACAGG